UAGCAUAGUACCAGGAGGUUUUCUCUGUGUUCACAUUCUGCCUCAUAUAAGUAGCAUAGUACCAGGAGGUUUUCUGUGUUCACAUUCUGCCUCAUAUAAGUAGCAUAGUACCAGGAGGUUUUCUCUGUGUUCACAUUCUGCCUCAUAUAAGUAGCAUAGUACCAGGAGGUUUUCUCUGUGUUCACAUUCUGCCUCAUAUAAGUAGCAUAGUACCAGGAGGUUUUCUGUGUUCACAUUCUGCCUCAUAUAAGUAGCAUAGUACCAGGAGGUUUUCUCUGUGUUCACAUUCUGCCUCAUAUAAGUAGCAUAGUACCAGGAGGUUUUCUGUGUUCACAUUCUGCCUCAUAUAAGUAGCAUAGUACCAGGAGGUUUUCUCUGUGUUCACAUUCUGCCUCAUAUAAGUAGCAUAGUACCAGGAGGUUUUCUCUGUGUUCACAUUCUGCCUCAUAUAAGUAGCAUAGUACCAGGAGGUUUUCUGUGUUCACAUUCUGCCUCAUAUAAGUAGCAUAGUACCAGGAGGUUUUCUCUGUGUUCACAUUCUGCCUCAUAUAAGUAGCAUAGUACCAGGAGGUUUUCUGUGUUCACAUUCUGCCUCAUAUAAGUAGCAUAGUACCAGGAGGUUUUCUCUGUGUUCACAUUCUGCCUCAUAUAAGUAGCAUAGUACCAGGAGGUUUUCUGUGUUCACAUUCUGCCUCAUAUAAGUAGCAUAGUACCAGGAGGUUUUCUCUGUGUUCACAUUCUGCCUCAUAUAAGUAGCAUAGUACCAGGAGGUUUUCUCUGUGUUCACAUUCUGCCUCAUAUAAGUAGCAUAGUACCAGGAGGUUUUCUGUGUUCACAUUCUGCCUCAUAUAAGUAGCAUAGUACCAGGAGGUUUUCUCUGUGUUCACAUUCUGCCUCAUAUAAGUAGCAUAGUACCAGGAGGUUUUCUGUGUUCACAUUCUGCCUCAUAUAAGUAGCAUAGUACCAGGAGGUUUUCUGUGUUCACAUUCUGCCUCAUAUAAGUAGCAUAGUACCAGGAGGUUUUCUCUGUGUUCACAUUCUGCCUCAUGAUUUCCAAAUCUGAUUAGAUAGUACUUAGUGCUCCCAAUUUUAGCUCCAAUAGCUCUCAAUACUAAAGUGUGUGAGACUCAUCGAGAGCAGCUCUCACCAUUGACUUUUAACCCUAUUGAGUGUUAGUGGAGGAAUGCGAUGUGGAGGGCACUUUGAUGUACGAGGGUUAAAAGCAUCAUCGCUGUCUGUUUUCACAUUAAGCCCAGCCAUUCAGACAGAGA